GGGAGGCAGCAGUGAGGAAUCUUGCACAAUGGGGGAAACCCUGAUGCAGCGACGCCGCGUGAGCGAUGAAGCCCUUCGGGGUGUAAAGCUCUUUCGGCGGGAACGAUUAUGACGGUACCCGCAGAAGAAGCUGCGGCUAACUACGUGCCAGCAGCCACGGUAAUACGAAGGCAGCAAGCGUUGUUCGGAGUUACUGGGCGUAAAGAGUAUGUAGGCGGCCUCGCAAGUUCGGUGUGAAAUCUCCCGGCUUAACUGGGAGGGUGCGCCGAAAACUGCUGGGCUCGAGUGCGGGAGAGGAGAGCGGAAUUCUUGGUGUAGCGGUGAAAUGCGUAGAUAUCAGGAGGAACACCGGCGGUGUAGACGGCUCUCUGGACCGCGACUGACGCUGAGAUACGAAAGCGUGGGGAGCAAACAGGAUUAGAUACCCGGGUAGUCCU
rnacentral:rRNA from 1 species